rnacentral:rRNA from 1 species
UAAAUAAAAAAGUUUAUUUUACCUAGGUAGACGAUAAGACCCUAAAACCUUUAUUGAGUGUUAAAUCUCUUUUUGCUGGGGAGGCAAACUAUAAUCUCAUAGUUUAUAAAAACAAAAUGAAUGAUUUUAAAUAACUUAAGGUUAAAUCCAAAAAGGUACUUUAGGGAUAACAGCAUAAUUUUUAUAUAGAGUUUACUUAUCGACAUAAAAGAUUAUGACCUCGAUGUUGAAUUGAUAUUACUUUACUAAGCAGCCC